rnacentral:lncRNA from 1 species
AUCUCCAACAUAAGAAGGUAAGAAGGCUGCAGCUUCCACCGGGCCUCUUGGGCUGUGUACUCUUGACACUCUUGCUCUGAGAACUAAGCAGGCAUAUUUCAUAUCAAAAUAGUAAAGAACUUCCUUUCCAAAGGCAGGACUUGCUUCUGUGAGGUACUGAGCCACCCGUCCCUGGAGGAAAGCAAGAACAGAGCAGAUCAGAGCCCAGGCAGACAUCUUGGAUGAUGGGGUACAUCUUGCCAUCCAGAGGCAAUGCUGGAGCGGGCAGUUGUCUGCGGGGAGGCCCUGGCUCACUCUGGGCCAAAUAACAGGACUGAUUGCAGCCUGCGAUGAAACAUCCUGUUUCUCCCAACCAGAAACAGGUAGAGGAGCUGCUUUAGGAUGGAAGAUGAGGCUUGCUUUUUCUUUCUCCUAGAAGUCAGCAUUUUACAUGAUUCUGGGAGGGAAGAAAGGAGACAGGAACCAAGGAGCCUGAGUGGGGAUUUGCCCACCACUGGGCAGCCAGGCUCCCGUCAGGAAGGCUUUUCAGAGGGAGUGUUGGAAGGAGUCGUCGAGGAGUCUUCCUCACCCAGGAAGUCUUCCUCACCGGGUGAGCCCCAACCUGCUGGACCUGCUCAGAAUUUGCCCAACAGGGGAUCCUGGUUGACUGAGGUCUGCUAAUUCCAACUGGCCUACGCUAAAUUCUCCCAGAAUGUCUUCAUCAUCAAUGAAUCGCUUUCCACUGACACGACGCCUGGAAGAACAUAAACACUGUGAGGAUAAAUGCCAAUGAAAUAAUAAUAAAAUAAACUUUCUUUGGUGGCCAGAGGGAAACAGAA